ensembl:lncRNA
GGGACACGAGCAACCCACUAAAUGUGUGUUUACACUGCUGAGCCCACACUUAUAAUUUUGUGAAUUCAAGCGGCAGCCCUAUGUGAGACCAUUUCAUGAAACUAAGAAAUUUUCAGGGACGAAAAGGAAAAUUCAGAGGGAACGAGAAUAAUAAAUGCAAAUUAUGAAUCCGUUUACCAAACACCGGCAAGAGGAAGUUCACAGUCUCCAAGGCACCAAAUUACGCCAUUGAUCCGAACCCAAAAUGGCUCCAUGUCUGGCAUUUUCAGAGGCCGUUUCCAAGUCAAUGUCAUCCUAUCUGCCUUAAACUAAAAGAGACAAAUACGACUGGAAUAAGGUAAAGAUGGAGUGGUUGUCUUGCUGUUGUGCUGGUAUCAGACAUGGGCUCUUCAUCAGAUGACUAAUGGAGUUGUGCAGCUAACCAGGAGGCCCAAGGCUGUUUGUUAGCUCCUAACAAGGUGAACCAGCUCCUACGGAACAGCACACUAGCGCUGAAGGAUUUAUUAUAGAUCUGCGUGUCCGCGGGCCAUGAACAGUAUAGCGCCGGUCUCAUUGUAGUGGGUCCACCACACUAGCAGAGGGUUUAGAUCAUUAUUGCCUCAUUGUUUUGAUACAAUUUUGCAGAGCGGAUGAUGGAUGGAUGGAUAAUCGGAUGAGUAAAGGAGUUUUGGUAGCCUAGCACAUGAGGGUAAUGGAUGGACUGCAAAAACACACGAAAAUGAUAAGGAAAAGUGAGUUUUGAACAUGUUUUAUGAUGGAAUUUGGAAAAACAUUUUCAGUCUUUACACAUUUAGAUAGUUGACAUUGUUGAGUAGUGAUGUAGUAUGUUAUAAUUCACCUAAAG